UCACAGUUCAGUUUUCCCUCCUUGGAAAAGAAUGACCAUGAAGAAAUGAUUAGGUGUUAUUCUAGAACAUAUUGAAGAGCUGCAUGCUUUAUUGAAAGAUCAAUUUUGUAUUUUUUGUUUCCAAGUUUAGACUGCUUUUAUAUGGUGGCUUUUAACUCAUAUCUGUAUCAUAUUCAGUUGCACACGUUCCUUAUUUCUUUGAUUUCCAUUUCAAUUUAGUUGGUUCACUGCUUCUCAAGUGGAAGUGGAAUUAAAUUCUUCAAGAAUACUAACACUUAAAACAUGCUGAACACAAACAAAUGUUUAGCUCUUCCCUUUUCUUUUAUUUUCUAUUAAUGUGGCCAGAUUGAAGCUUUAACUACCAGAACUUUUUUUAUAACAUUAUCUGUGGAUGUCAG
rnacentral:misc_RNA from 1 species